UACGGAGGGUCCAAGCGUUAUCCGGAAUCAUUGGGCUUAAAGGGUCCGUAGGCGGUUUUGUAAGUCAGUGGUGAAAGCCCAUCGCUCAACGGUGGAACGGCCAUUGAUACUGCAAGACUUGAAUUAUUAGGAAGUAACUAGAAUAUGUAGUGUAGCGGUGAAAUGCUUAGAUAUUACAUGGAAUACCAAUUGCGAAGGCAGGUUACUACUAAUAUAUUGACGCUGAUGGACGAAAGCGUGGGGAGCGAACAGG
rnacentral:rRNA from 1 species